rnacentral:rRNA from 1 species
UACGUAGGUGGCAAGCGUUGUCCGGAAUUAUUGGGCGUAAAGCGCGCGCAGGCGGUCCUUUAAGUCUGAUGUGAAAGCCCACGGCUCAACCGUGGAGGGUCAUUGGAAACUGGGGGACUUGAGUGCAGAAGAGGAAAGCGGAAUUCCACGUGUAGCGGUGAAAUGCGUAGAGAUGUGGAGGAACACCAGUGGCGAAGGCGGCUUUCCGGUCUGUAACUGACGCUGAGGCGCGAAAGCGUGGGGAGCAAACAGG